AUAAUACCUUUUAAGCACGAGUUGUCCUGCACGGUACUCACGAGAAGAACUUUCUUGUCAAAAGCUCGUUUGAGUCGUCGUUGGUAUAACUGACCAUGGCAAAUGGACGUCAAACGCUUUUCUUCGAUUAGAUUCAGCUGGUCAUAUCGUGAUUGAACCCAUUCAGCUUCAUCAAGGUCAGCCUCCAUGAUGAACCUGAGUGAAGGGAUCUCGACUUCAAUUGGUAGGAC
rnacentral:lncRNA from 1 species